rnacentral:rRNA from 1 species
AACGAACGCUGGCGGCAGGCCUAACACAUGCAAGUCGAGCGGCAGCGGGAAAGUAGCUUGCUACUUUUGCCGGCGAGCGGCGGACGGGUGAGUAAUGCCUGGGGAUCUGCCCAAUCGAGGGGGAUAACUACUGGAAACGGUAGCUAAUACCGCAUACGCCCUACGGGGGAAAGCAGGGGACCUUCGGGCCUUGCGCGAUUGGAUGAACCCAGGUGGGAUUAGCUAGUUGGUGAGGUAAUGGCUCACCAAGGCGACGAGCCCUAGCUGGUCUGGGAGGAUGAUCGGCCACACGGGAACUGACACACGGUCCAGACUCCUACGGGAGGGAGCAGUGGGGAAUAUUGCACAAUGGGGGAAACCCUGAUGCAGCCAUGCCGCGUGUGUGAAGAAGGCCUUCGGGUUGUAAAGCACUUUCAGCGAGGAGGAAAGGUUGGUAGCUAAUAACUGCCAGCUGUGACGUUACUCGCAGAAGAAGCACCGGCUAACUCCGUGCCAGCCGCCGCCGUAACAC